AUACAUUGUGGCACUAGCCACGCAGGAGGAAAUAUUAUGUUACAAGGUAAAGUUAAAUGGUUCAACGCAGAAAAAGGUUUCGGUUUCAUCGAAGUUGAAGGUCAAGAAGAUGUAUUCGUUCACUUCUCUGCUAUCCAAGGCGAAGGUUUCAAAACUCUAGAAGAAGGUCAAACAGUUUCAUUUGAAAUCGAAGAUGGCGCUCGUGGACCUCAAGCUGCUAACGUAACUAAGUAAUUAGUGAAAUAGCAAAAAAAGAACUCCCUUAAUGGGAGUUCUUUUUU
rnacentral:other from 1 species